rnacentral:lncRNA from 1 species
AUUAUGAAUUUUAAGCUACUACUUAAAAGACGACGUUGCACAACAAAGACAUUUUGUUAUUUAUAUAAUACCAAAGCACCAAACUUCUUUAUUAACCAUGAAAGGAACGUAAAUAAACCCUCAUAGAAGGAAUACACAGGUUCAUAAUCAUCUCAAUAUAUAAAAUAGUUUCUGAAGCAGACAGAUCUUGUGACUAAUGUCACACACACAGGAUUCAUUCAGCAAAACAAACGACAUAUUGCUACCAAGAAGUAAUACGUAAUCAGGAGAGAAAGGGGAGGUCUCCAAUCAGAUCUUCAACCGCGUCAGCCGCAUCAGAUCCAGAGAUAAGCUUCCCAAGAACCACUCCUUUUAUGAAAGACGACGAACUAACCUUUUUUGGUGCCGGGAUAGGAUAGUAGCAUGGAUAACCUGGACCUGCUGGUGGUGGUGGUGGAUAUGGAGAUCCACUCCAGUAGCCUGGACCUGCUGCUGGUGGUGGUGGAUAUGGAGAUCCAUUCCAGUAGCCUGGACCUGCUGGUGGUGGUGGUGGAUAUGGAGAUCCAUUCCAGUAGCCUGGACCUGGUGGUGGUUGCGCAUAGGCAUAGGGUCCCAUGCCUGGUGGCGGCGGCGGCGGUGGUGGUGAAGCCAUCUUGUGAGAUAAAUAUAGAGGGGAUGGACUGGUGGUGUUGUAUAUAUGAAGUGAAUAACAGGAAGAUGCUGCGAAGCAGCCUAUUUGAUAUCAACGUUAAACAGUAAUAAUUUCAAACCCUAUCACAGUCGACGUCCCUAUCACUAUAUGGUAUAAUAUACAAAAUUGAUAAAUAAACUUUCAGCCGGUAAUAAUAAUUCAUGAAUCUGUUGAAUUGGUCACCUUCUCAUAUUUAUACUAAUUUAGGUACAAUUUCACACCCUAUCAUUCAUAUUAAUUUCCACAAUAUUUUUAUUUUGAUCGGAACAAAUUAGAAUUUAGUCAAAAGAGUUACAAAUUAAGCCAAUAAGAGAAAAUGCAAUAUAACGGAACUGCCAGAGAUUGGAAGUCUGAUAAACCAACUUAUCAAGAGCAACGUAAUUUUCGAUUCGUCUAAAAUAGUGAUCGUAUGAAAUCUCCCAGAUCACGGUAUCAUGGAUAAGUAAUAAAGUAUCAUCCCACAGAGAUUAUUUAUUUAAUCUAGAAUCAAUUCAUUUAUCUAAUUUUGAUUAUAAAUUCUAUACUAUUUUAUUUAAUUAUAUUAAUUAUUCUAAUGAGCAAAUUAUGAAAGUUUUUGUAAGAUUACAUUGAAUGACUGCUAAGACUUUGAAUCUCCCUUAUUAAUCCAAAUUAAUAUAAUUCAAUAUCUUGAUAAUAUGCAUGCAUUCUUGUUGAUCAAUGUUCCUAAGUUAUUUAAUAAUCUCUCUUCAUUAGAAUUAAAUCUAUUCUCUCAAGUGGCCUUCUUAUAUCUCCAUGAAAAUGCGAAUAUGAAGGCAUAAAUUAAAACACUAUAACAUCUAUUGGAAAAAUGAAAUCAUACAAGACAUAAGAGUAUAUUUAUAUUCUCUAUCGGACCUGACAACAAUUGUUAUAAGUGCGAUCUAUCAUAUUGUAUCUCUCAAUGACAAUAAAACUCACAAAUCAAUCCAAUUAAUGAUCAAGCAAUUUAAAAAUAUUAAGCACAAUAACAAUCAUCCAAGAAAUAAAACGUGUUAGGCGUCAAAAUAUUGAAAUCAUAUUAUUGUAAAUGAAAGCUUAACCUAGCAUUAUGAAAUCACAAGAAACAUGAUUGAUUUAUAGGACAUUAUCCAAAUUUUUGUUAAUGAAGAAAAAGAUGAGAAAUCUUGAAGUUUUUAUUCUCUUCUAUGGUUUCUUGAUUGUUUGCAGUUGCAUCUUUCUCCUCUUUGCCUAAAAAUCAAAGUUGAGUCUAUUAGAACUUGGGACUCCAUCUUAAAAGGUCAACUUUAUUAAGAGGAGUAGUCCAAUACCUAAUAAGUUGGUCUAUGAUUUCAUAUUUAUUCGAUGUGGGAUUAUAUCCCUUAACAUACCCCCGCAGAUGUAACUCGUUUGAGCAGAUUAAUCUUGAAGAUCAUGUCCUCAUUUGGGAGUCGUAAUUAAAUCAAAUUACUCGUUAAAAUUUAAUGGAUUUUGAUAUCAUAUUAAGACUUGUGAUUUCAUCUUAAAAUGUCAACCUUGUUAAGAGGAGCAGUCCAAUACCUUAUAAUUUUGUUUAUGUUUUCACUUUUUAUUCGAUGUGAAAUUAUAUCCCUUAACAGAAUAGUCAAUUGAUUAAAAUCUUGUAUUUUGCCUCUUAAUUUGUCCAAAAAAAUGAUGGAUUGCCCCUCUUUUCUUGUAAAAUUUAAUGUAUUCUAUGGUAUGAGAUGUGUUCUUCAAGCCUUUCCCAUGUUCAGUACUUAUGGUCGUCGAAAUUAGGUCAAGAAACAGUCCAAAGUUCCAUUAAUAUAAAAUUUCAGUUGAAAAAGGAAAUUAUCUGGCCGAAAAUCCUACCAUGCGUGCACAUGGUAGCCGUCAAUGCGUGCGCAUGGUAGAUGAAGUUUGGCUUCGGGUUUUGCAGUAAAGGACCUUGCGUGCACAAGGUAGUCCUAUCAUGGUAGAAACAAUUAAAAGACUAAUUGCAAGUUGGUCUCUGAAUUUCUUCCAAGGUGUUUUUUGUCAUUUUUUCGUGCAAUUUCACCCCCCCCCCCCCCCCCCCCCCCCCUUCUUNNNNNNNNNNNNNNNNNNNNNNNNNNNNNNNNNNNNNNNNNNNNNNNNNNNNNNNNNNNNCUUUUUUCCUUCCCUUUCCCCCCCCCCCCCCCCCCACAGACUUGUAAUUUCAUAAAAUUGAUCUUAUAUGGUCUUCAAUCCUCGUUUUGUAGUCCGAAUCAAUUAUUGAAUAUUUAUAAUUUGAUCCUCAAACUUUGAAAAUCAUUAUUUUUGUUCAUUUCUUCUAAUUUCACUUCCAAUUGUUGAGUUUCACCUAACAAACAAAAAUAUACAAGAGAUUAAGUUAUAUUUCAUCAAAAGUAACCCCAAAUAUUAAUAUUUAACGGCCUAAAUAAAUGUACAAAUUACACUUAUCAAUAAUAUUUUAGUAAAGAAUAUAGGCAUUUUGAACUGACUAUUAUGAUGACUACAUGCUCAUCUACUUGAUAUGAAUGUCUUGAUUAUUUUUCUAGGUUCUAAAUAAUCUAUUGUUUGAAGACUUUAAGACGGAAUACUUACCGAACACACUAAUCGAAGUCAUGAAUAUUAAUUUCGUUGAAUUUUGUACUGCAAUGAAAAUGAUAUUUAUACAAGUCUUUAAUGUUUCCAAUUCCACAGAAAUGGCAAGUUUCGUGGUCUUACCCAUCUCAUCUUUAUCAUGAACCACGGAAUUGCAAUUUAUGACUUCUAUUUAUUAAAAGAACUUUGCUACAAAAACAGGGGGCAUGAUAGCCCCCAGUGGGUCCCUUUUUUUGCGUGGGACCCACCCCCAUGGAUGGGGUUCGGUCAAGGGAUCUGUCAAGCCCCCUGUUCUUCUAGCAAAAUUCUUAUAAAAAUAUAACUCUAUUGUUUCCAAUUCAACGGAUAUCUUGCCUAGUCAACCCCAUCUCAAAUCAUGAACCCUUCCAUUGAUUUCACUCAAAGAAAAAGACAAAGAAGAGUAAUCAAAAUUAAACUAAUAUUCAAUAAAGGAAAAUGGAAACCUAAUAAAUUCAACCUUAAUUAUUAAAUUUUGCUCACUGACAUAAAUGCUAAGGCAAAAGGCAAAGGGGAAUUUGAUAAAAAAGCCCAGUCAAACAAUGUUAUUUGUAAAAUAACCUUCCUUCAAUGUUAUUUGAUAAAAUAGCCUCCACUUACAAAAAACAAUAAACAAAUAAGAUCAAAUGUCUAAAAUACCCUCACCAUUGAAAAGACUCAAAUACCCAUUUCAAUCCAAUUAAAUCCCUCAAAUCAUCAGCAAAAAUCAGUGGACGGCUUUCCUGGUGGAUGCUUCCUUAAAAUCUUGUUAUUCAUUGCAUUCUUCAUCUAUCUUCUCUAAUAUUUUGAGCAUUUUAACAAGGAUUUUGGUGUCUACAUUAUCCACAUUGAAAUUUCUACUAUAUUUAAAAAAAGAAGAAAGGUAUUUUUAGAAAUCUCAUUUAUAUUGGUAUUUUUAUUGUUGAAUAUAGUAUAAAAUGAUAUUUUAGUUGAUUUUAUUUUCGCAUUUGGUGUAUAUUUGCAUCGUCCGCAACUAUUGGACGAUAACGACACUCCAGUCGUUAUUAGUAGUUCAGAACGACACUACAGUCGUUAUAUACCAUGUAAAACGAUAGUACAACCGUUAUCUGUUAUGAUCUGUCCAAGGCAAAUGCCAAGGGCAGGUUAUAGAAGGUGAUGAUCUUUCCAAUUUGGGUCGGGUCACACUAUUGGGUCGAUUCUACAUGUCAGCUGGAGCAUUUUGAUUGGGGAAAAAUUAUAAGUAAGAGUUUAAGUAUUACGCAUUUCAAAAUCAAGAAAAUAAGUUUCAAACUUCAAAAAUCAGAUUUUUAAUAAAAUUUAUUUAUGAUUUAAUUAAUUAAUUUAUUUAUUAAAUAUAUUUAGGUUAUAGAUCUAUACAAUUUGGUCACAAAUUAAUGAUUUAGUUAGUCACUUAUUUUUUUUUAAUCACAAAUCAAAAAUUUUAUGUCACAAAUUAUUUUACGGUCACAAUUCGAAAAUUUUAUAAGUCAUGAUUUAUUUAUUGAUCACAAAUCAUAAAUAUUAUAAGUUGUGAUUUAUUAUACAGUUACAAAUUAUUAAAUUAUCGAUCAUAAAUUAACAAUUUUUAAGUCACAAUUUAUAUUUUUUAUUGGUCACAUAAUGUUUAUUGAUUACAGAUUAACAAAUUUUAUGAUUAUAGUCAACCAAAUAAUUUGUGAUCACGACCAACACUUACGAUCACAAUCUCACCACUACUUCCAACACCACCACUUCCAACACCACCACUAUCACCGUCGUCGUCAAAACCACCACUACCAUCGCACCCACAACAAUACAGUCACACAGACACCACAGUUGCAAGAACCACCACUACCCCGACAGACCCAUUGCCACCAACUUCUCACCAUCACCAUAGCACCCAUCGUCGCACGCACACACACACCCAACCACCGCACUACCAUUGCACCCACAGUAACACAGCCGUACACACACCACCACCUCUUCUCAACACAAUCGUCACAACUACAAAUCGAGACUAUUGCAGCUGUGUCACCAACACCACCACCACCAACACCCAAACCUAAUUUCUCCAAAGUUGCAUUUGCUACAGUCGUAUCAACUGAGAUGGCACACCGCCUGGAACAUGUAGAUAACACCAUGGCCGUCACAACUACAAAUCAGGACUAUUACAGCAGCAUCACCAACACCACCACCACCAACACCCAAACCUAAUUUCUCCAAGGCUACAUUUGCUACAGCCACAUCGACUGAGAUGACGCAAUGCCUGGCACAUAGAGAUAACAUUUUCCAUCCUCACCCCGACACUGGGCAAGGCGUUGUCGUAACAGCAACCUCGACAGCAGCGUCAGUGCUGCUACAAAUGAUGUGGGAUGCACGGCUUCUUCACGGAGCAUUGCAGUACUUCCAACCAUGCACACACACCUCCGACAAGUGUCUUGCCAAAGAAAAGUCAGAUCUACAGCGACGGUGGGUCACCGGUCUAUUCUGUAGCAACGAUGUUGAGAAAAGAGAUGAAAGAGUAAAGAGAAGGGGUUUUUGGAAAUGGAAUUGGGAUGAUUUGGGAUUAACUAAUUUUUAUACAUAUGAUGAGUGUAAUUCACUCAUACUUUAGGUACGAUUUAAACUUGAUACUUAGCUAUUUCUUACGUUUUAAUGUAUGUCUUGGUGUUGUGGUAUAGGUUGAUGAGAUUAAAGGAAAUAAACAAAAGUUGGCAAAAAUAGGAGAAAAGGGCAAAGUUGUAAGAGAUCCAAAGUUCGGGGACUAAAGUGAAAAUACUCAAAAGUUGUGUUGGACCUCAUGAUGAAGAUUCAAGAGUGCUCGAAAUCAAUUGGAUAAAAAAGUUGUCAAAGGGAUUAAACAUAAUUAAAGUAUGAUCACACAUCAAUUUUCAAUCGAAAAAAGUUAUGCACCGUUUUCAGCUCAUAUUGAGACCCGUUUUUGACAUAGUAAAUGAUCAAAUUUGAAAAUAAUGUCUAAAGUAAAGUUGUUGCUCUUUGAGUCAGUUUUCCAGUAUAUCUUGAAUCAUCUCAAUCGGAUAUAAAAAAAAAAGUUAUAAUAAAAAUAUUGCCCUAAUAUUUCUUCAUUACUUAAGUUUUAAAUCACUCUUUGUGUGCAUCCAUAUAUUUUUAGAUAGUUAUAUCAAAAAUUACAACAUGAAAUUCUUUGUUUAUUUUCGAUCAACAUUAAAGUUAGGAAUAAUUGAACCAAUUGUUAAAUAGUGGUCCUUGUGGAAACGAUAUCCGAACUCUUAUGUCUACUUUAUUACUUGUUAUGAUCCGUACACUUGUGGGAUACAAAAUUGACAACAGGUUUUUAGCACCGUUGCCGGGGACUAGUUUUAUUUAAUAUUGGUUUUAAUUAUUUCUUGCUUUUGUUUGAUUUUAUUUUUUAAUUGAUCUACUUGUUUUUCUUUUCUCCAUUGACAAGGAAUAAAAAGAAGCAAGAGGUCAAAAAAAAUAUUUUACAAUGAUUGACCCCGACUUAAAUGAAUGUGACAUACUCUUUGAAGAAUUCCUCUUUAAACAAGAACUUAAGAGGUUGGGUUACAAUCAAACUAUUGAAUUCAAUAAGGAUGCCUUCCCAAGGGGACUAAACAUCAAAUUUGUUGUUUAUGGGGAUAUAAGACUAAAUUGUGAAUAUUGUGGUGUAUUUCAUUGUACUAAAAAUUGCUUGUUGUUAGCAACUCCAGUGGAAGUGAGGAAAGAUAUCUUCUAUUAUCCAUAUGAAGAACAAUUUGAUUACAGUAAAAGUGUUAUGGAAGACAUUAUCAUGGAAAAAGAUAGAAGGAUUGAAAAUUAGAUAAUUUCGGACAAGCCAAAUAACAUACCAAUGGAAGAUCUCUUCAUUACUCAACCCGAGGAACCAAUUAAGGAGGAAGGGCAUGUAGAAAUGAAUAAAUUAAUCAUGAAGGAGCCAAUUGAAUUAGUGGAAUUUAAAGAAGGUGGGAUUAGCACUCAAACCUCAAACUUGAUUGAUUUUGUGGUUAAAGUCGAUGAGAAAAUUGAAGUGUUCUUAGUUGAGUUCGAAUUGAGAAAUUUAGGCAAGUCAUAUUGUAUUCAAAAGGGCAAAGUAUGAUUUUGGAGGAUGUGUGGAAUAUGGAACAAAAUCAAAUUAAGCAAGCUAAGCAGAACCUCCAAAACCAUAUUCAAGGUGUCAUGAAGCACUUGUGCAAAAGUCUAGCCGAAGACUUUAAAUUAAGCUCUUCUUGGGAGGCAAUCCAAGCUCUAUCAUUUUAGUUUUAGGAUCAUUCAAUUUAUUGUCAUAACAUUCUCAUUGUGUUGUUUGUAGAAAGAUUCUUAAGUGUGUGCCAACAACAUGAUUAUCCAACCAACCAAGACCCAUCUUACCAAGGCGAUGGCGAUGACACCCACUGAUAAUUUCAAGGAAGUCCUACCUCUCAUUUUGAUUUAUUUUUCACAUUAGGGACAAUGUAUGUUUUAAGUUUGGGGGUGAAUCAUAGGGAUUAAUUGCUUUCGUUUCUUUUGUUUAGUAGUAUGUUUAUGUUUGCUAUCGUUUCUUUUCUUUCGUAGUAUGUUAUUGCUUGCUUGUGUGAGUCAAAUGGUUUGUGGGUGAUGAUGAAUAUACUUGAAAUCAUGUGUUAGUUUGUGGACUGUGGAAGAUUUAUAUGCUUAAGUUGAUGUUUUUACCUAUUUAUGUGAAGCAGUGUAAUAAUUAUGUACGAGUAUUAAGUUUAGCGCUGUACAGGAACAUGAGGGUUCAAUGCAUAUGAUAAAUGGAUAACUUAGGUGCUUGACCUUUUUCCCAUGAUUCACAACACCCAUUGACCAUAUAUUUAAUAAUUUGGGACGUUCUACUCGGUGAAAGAAAUAAUUUAAGACUGUGGUGAUUCCAUGCAUAUUAAAAGAUAGUGUGGAAUGUCUUUAACUUUCUGGUAUAAGCUUGGUGAUGACCAAGUACUAGAGGUCUGACCCCUAUAAAUUUCGCUUCAUUUUAUAGGGAAAAAAAAAGCAUUGCACUUAUCAAUUACGCCUCAUGCUUGCACCUUUUUUACUCAAUUUAUUAAGUCUAUAAGAGUCUUUUGAAACCUGGUAUCCUUUCGUAUGCAAAAAUCAAGGAAUUACCAACAUAACACUCGCUACAGAGGUCAAGAAAAGGAAAAAAGGACAAGGUAAUAGCUGGAAAAAAAAUGAAAAAAUGUGUUGGUAUACAAGUGCGCAAAAGAAUUGAUCUUGAGGCCUAAAUAACUAGAGGGUUUGAAUCACUUUGUAUAAACUAAAUUGUUAAAACACUCAUAAUUAAAGAAAAUCAUCACACGAAUGAAUUGUUAACAUCACCGAUUGAACUAAACCAAAGUGGUGUGAGAAAUUGAUGAGUGAGAUUAAACCCUAGAGUUAUACCGUGGUGUGAGAAUAGAAGAAACCAAGUUCGGGAGGGUACAAAUCUCACGAGCAGAGAAAGAAAAUAAUUGACCACUGAGGGUUAGGAAGUGAACCAUCUUGUGAAUAAGUCUUUGUCUGUGUCCUUAGUUAUUUUCCUUUUCUUUUGUUUGCUCGAGGACUAGCAAAAUAUUUAGUUUGGGGGUAUUUGAUGAGUGUAUUUCACUCAUACUUUAGGUACCAUUUAAACUUGAUAUUUAGCUAAUUCUUACGUUUUAAUGUAUGUCUUGGUGUUAUUGUAUAGGUUGAUGAGAUUGAAGAAAAUAAGCAAAAGUUGGCAAAUUUGGAGAAAAUGACUUAGUUGUAAAAUAUCCAAAGUUCGGGGACCAAAGUGAAAAUACUCAAAAGUUGUGUCGGACCUCAUUAUGAAGAUUCAAGAGUGCUCGGAGUCAAUUAAAUAAAAAAGAUGUCAAAGGGAUUAAACAUAAUUAAAGUAUGACACACAUCAGUUUCCAACUAAAACAAGUUAUGCACCUUUUUCAGUCUCAUAUUAAGACUCAUUUUUGACAUAGUAAAUGAUCGAAUUUGAAAAUAAUGUUUGAAACAAAGUUGUAGUCUUUUAAGUCAGCUUUCCAACACAUCUUGAAUCUCCUCAAUCGAAUAUCGAAAAAAAGUUAUGAUAAAAAUACUAAAAGGAGCGUAGCCAGAAUUUUUACUCGAAGAGACGCCACCAAAACAGAGCCGCGAUGCCACUCCUAUGGUGCCAAGGAGUCGUCUGGGUACGUCUAGAGCACUUUUUGACCCGUUUUGAAAUCUAUAAAAAUCCUACUUUCUACACAAACGUGGGGGACACCUAUAAAUACAAUUUUCACUCUUUGAGAAGGGAUUCCACACGUUGAGAGGCAAUAACACAAUUUGAGAAUUAGAGAGCAAAUUUAAGAAGAGAAAAACAACAAUUCAAGGGUUGGAAAUCAAGAUUUGGAAGGAAAAGAAGAACUUAGUGCAAGAUUCAUCCAAUUCUCCACAUCUAAAUUCAAAACCCGGUGAUGAACUACACUAUUUUUAUUUGUUUUUCUUCCUUGAUUAUGAAUAGAUUAAAUUCUUGUUAUGGUGGAUAAUGUAAUAUACUUGGGACCCUUUACAUAUUUUAUUUAAGAUUCUUGUUCUUUAUUGUUCCACGUGUUGAUUUUAAUGUGGAUUUAAUGCAUUAUAUUACUUGAUCAUUAAUUUGAUGAUUUUAUGAAUCCUUCACGAAUCGAGAGGUAAGUUUAGAAUUUAAACCAUAUAGUAAAAUUCGAUAAAUUGAUAUAACGUGCAGAGAUGCCUAUACUAAUUAUUGUGGACAUAAUUGAAUUCCUGGAACAAAGAACUCGUUUAACUAAGCUUGAUUCGCAUAGAUAUAUGGAAUCGAAUUAGUUAAAUAGACUCAAUAAGAACUCAAGAGAGAUAAAUUGAAUACAAUAGAAGAAUUCUAUCGAGCACUACAUGAGAUAUGAAUCUUGAUAUAAGAUGUAAAUGUGAUCAAUAGAUGAAAUUAUUCUGUCCUAAUAUUUGCUCAUUAUUUAAGUUCUAAAUCACUCUUUUUGUGCAUCCACAUAUUUUCAAAUAGUUGUUUCAAAAAUUACAACAUCAUAUUCUUUGUUUAUUUUUUAUCAAAUUAAAGAUAGGAAUAAUUGAACCAAUUGUUAAAUAGUAGUCCUCGUGAGAAUAAUAUCCGGACUCUUAGGUCUAUUUUAUUACUUUUUACGAUCUGUACACUUGCGUGAUACAAAAUUGACAACAAUAUAUUAAUUAAUUAAUUAAUAAAAUAUUUGAUUUUUCAAAUAGUAAACUUCGCAUAUGAUUUAUGAAAUGGGAUAUCUAAAAGUAUUGGUUCUUCUAAUUUCCACUUUUGAUAGACCAUUGCAAUUGGGCCGAAUCAAAGAAGUGGGCUGGACUAAAUUUUGGGCCAUUGCUAACUCCGUUGGAAGCAACCAAGGUGGGUCAGUGCAUAUUGGCUGAAAAUUCAAGGCCCUGUAACUUUGGAGCACUGGGUUGGAGAAAACAAAUUGAAAUUUGAAUAUUUGGGCUAAAUUCCGGCCAAUCUUUAGUUAAAUUUUAAAAGAAAAUUGCAUCACAUGUCAGAAUUCACUAAUUCAUCUACAAUAUUGUCAUUUUUCACUAAGGGUUUUGCUAUUUGUACAGUCCGGGAGUGAUAGCCCGGAUUUUUUUGGAACUUUAUGAGGGGUUUGCUUGGAAAUUAGGGUUUAUUGUUUUAUGUGUGACUGGUUUAAUCUUUCUUCUUCAUUUUUUUUUUCCAAUUUAUGUGCACGAAUAAUUGAUUUUACAAUUGAAUGUAGUUUGUGGUGUCCUUAGAUGCUUAUAACUUCUCUAAAAACGUUGCUUUAUGGUUUUACAAUUUAUAUUGUUCAUGAGAACAUUUGUCAUUCUUGACAUAUGACUUCUAUUAUUCCCGACGGUUUGAACGGAAUGAAACAAACUAUCGGAAAUUUAGCUUAGUUGUGCAUGUUAAUAUUAUAGUUGUACGUUUGACGUGAUCAAGUUUUUGUUAUAUGAAUUCACAACUCAUUAUAUGAAUUGUUGACAUUGAAAUUUGUUUAUAUUAGCGUUGUAGAUGAAAUUUGAUUAUCAUUUGUCUAAGAUAAGGUUAGAUGCCAAAAAAGAUCUUCGAGGUGAUGCAUCACUUCCGUCGCGGUACCAUGAAGAAGUUGACCUUCCAUGGCCAAGCGAAGUGCUACACAUGCUACAAGGAUGGAAGCCAAGGCAAUUGGCCUUCUUGAUUGAUAAAAGGCAUCUCCUAUUUCAUCUCUUCCAAGAGAUAUUUUGUGCAAAAUCUUAUUACGAUUUAUUGAAGUGAUAUCUCUAUAGUAGACACCUAAAGGCAAAUCAUCAGUUUAUAUUUAGAUGUCAGACCUAAAUCCUAUGGUGGCCACUUUUCUGAGAACAUAAAAUGCCAAAGGUCAGUAUUCCACAUCUUCUAAUAUAAAAGUUAACUGUUAAUGCUAUUUGAAUGUAAUGUAAUUUUACACAACCCACAUUUUGUAACUGAUGUAAUUUAAAUUCAGCUACAUUUAUGCUUUCCGUUAAAUGAAUCUUUCAGAUUCAGACAUUAAUUCAAAAAAAGAAAAAAGAAAGUAUGGA